AUGCCUAAUUUAACCAUCUAACCCAUCAAAUUAAAUGAGUUUAUGGGUUGACUCAAUCCAUGAACUCAUUUAACUUCAAACUCAUUUGGUAAUGAGU
rnacentral:pre_miRNA from 1 species